AGAGUUUGAUCCUGGCUCAGAAUGAACGUUGGCGGCGUGGAUUAGGCAUGCAAGUCGAGCGAGAACCAGUCUUCGGAUUGGGGACAGCGGCGAACGGGGUAGGAAUACCUCGGUGACGUACCCCCAGAACGGGGAUAGCGGCGGGAAACUGCCGGUAAUACCCGAUGAUCUUCCUAGGUUUUAGUCCAGGGAAGCAAAGGUGCGAUUCCGUCUGGGGAGCGGCUGAGGUCGUAUUAGCUUGUUGGUGGGGUAACGGCCUACUAAGGCGAUGAUGCGUAGGGGGUGUGAGAGCAUGGCCCCCACCACUGGCACUGAGACACUGGCCAGACACCUACGGGUGGCUGCAGUCGAGAAUCUUCGGCAACGGGCGAAAGCCUGACCGAGCGACGCCGCGUGCGGGAUGAAGGUCUUCGGAUUGUAAACCGCUGUCGGAGGGGAUGAAGUGUAUCGGGGUACUCCCCGGUAUUUGACAGAGCCUCGGAGGAAGCACGGGCUAAGUUCGUGCCAGCAGCCGCGGUAAUACGAACUGUGCGAACGUUAUUCGGAAUCACUGGGCUUAAAGGGUGCGUAGGCGGCGGCACAAGUCAGGUGUGAAAUCCCCCGGCUCAACCGGGGAACAGCGCUUGAAACUAGGUCGCUCGAGUGAGGCAGGGGUGUAUGGAACUUCCGGUGGAGCGGUGAAAUGUGUAGAUAUCGGAAGGAACGCCGGCGGCGAAAGCGGUACACUGGGCCUUGUCUGACGCUGAGGCACGAAAGCUAGGGGAGUGAACGGGAUUAGAUACCCCGGUAAUCCUAGCCGU
rnacentral:rRNA from 1 species